rnacentral:ncRNA from 19 species
UACUUAUCAAGAGUGGUGGAGGGACUGGCCCUAUGAAGCCCGGCAACCGGCCAUUGGAUGGCGGCGGUGCCAACUCCUGCAGGACUUUUAGUUCUUGAGAGAUAAGGU